rnacentral:lncRNA from 11 species
GUUAUGUGAAGUUGAAUGUGAAGAUGCUUGUGAUGGUGGCAAAGAUGGUAUUGCUGCUGAAAAACUAUUGAAGUGGAACCGAAGAGAGGUUUGAAGAGGUUUGAAGACGGAGAGUCCAGAAACCAGAAAGGUCCUGGAAAAAUAGAGUCCCAUGGAGGUCAUCCCACGAUGCAUGGACACUUCUGGUGGCUGCCCAUGGGAAUUUUAUUUGUCAAAUAAAGUCACGCACCCUCAACAUCUCAGCUAAACAAGCUACGCAUUAGCAAAGCUCCAAUGUACAGGCCUCUUUUCAGUAGCAAUUCAUUCUGGUACUACCAGUUUUGUAGUUAGGGACCAAUUCAAAAAGUAACUGAUUAAAUUUAUACUUCCAAUGCCCCUCAAAGCUAUUCGUUGCAAAAUACUUGCAACUUUUACAGGCAAUUCAUUAAUUUCUUACUUUUAAAAAUUAAAUAAAUUAGACUUCUUAAUUAUACUUUUGUUAUCAAGACCGCGAUUUAGCAGGGAUCUGCCCUGUGAGGGAGAUCCAAUCCGUCUCCCAGAAGAGGGAACGAACCUUGGCGAGCCGACCGAAAAGUAGGAAAUGAACCGGAUUAUAAUUUACCUGAGACCGAAAGGAAAAGCUCUGCCAAGUUGAAGGAAAAACCGUCAAAGUGUUUAUUAAAGCGAUUCAGCUGAACAGACAUCGAGCAGCGAUAGAUCGACAUGCAAGUUGUAACGAUACAUUGGAAAUAAAGCCAUUUUAUACACUUACAAGUUUGAAGUCUAUUUGAACUUCCCGCCCCGUCCCUCCGCUCAUCUGGCUGCUGAUAGGUCGAGGGUGUCACACUAG